UGUGGUGUAGCUCAGUGGAAGAAUUCUAGCUUAGCAUGCAUGAGGCCUUGGGUUCGAUCCUCAGCUCCACAA
rnacentral:tRNA from 1 species